rnacentral:rRNA from 1 species
AGAGUUGAUCAUGGCUCAGGAUGAACGCUAGCUACAGGCUUAACACAUGCAAGUCGAGGGGCAGCAUGGUCUUAGCUUGCUAAGACUGAUGGCGACCGGCGCACGGGUGAGUAACGCGUAUCCAACCUUCCCCCUGGUAGGGCAUAGCCCGGCGAAAGUCGGAUUAAUACCCUAUGUUAUCCGAAGAGGACAUCUGAUUCGGAUCAAAGAUUUAUCGCCAUGGGAUGGGGAUGCGUCCGAUUAGGUUGACGGCGGGGUGACGGCCCACCGUGCCCGCGAUCGGUAGGGGUUCUGAGAGGAAGGUCCCCCACAUUGGAACUGAGACACGGUCCAAACUCCUACGGGAGGCAGCAGUGAGGAAUAUUGGUCAAUGGGCGUAAGCCUGAACCAGCCAAGUAGCGUGCGGGACGACGGCCCUAUGGGUUGUAAACCGCUUUUGCAGGGGAAUAAAGUGAGGCACGUGUGCCUUUUUGCAUGUACCCUGAGAAUAAGGACCGGCUAAUUCCGUGCCAGCCGCUGC